rnacentral:rRNA from 1 species
CGUAACAAGGUCUCCGUAGGUGAACCUGCGGAGGGAUCAUUACACAAAUAUGAAGGCGGGCUGGAACCUCUCGGGGUUACAGCCUUGCUGAAUUAUUCACCCUUGUCUUUUGCGUACUUCUUGUUUCCUUGGUGGGUUCGCCCACCACUAGGACAAACAUAAACCUUUUGUAAUUGCAAUCAGCGUCAGUAACAAAUUAAUAACUACAACUUUCAACAACGGAUCUCUUGGUUCUGGCAUCGAUGAAGAACGCAGCGAAAUGCGAUAAGUAGUGUGAAUUGCAGAAUUCAGUGAAUCAUCGAAUCUUUGAACGCACAUUGCGCCCUUUGGUAUUCCAAAGGGCAUGCCUGUUCGAGCGUCAUUUGUACCCUCAAGCUUUGCUUGGUGUUGGGCGUCUUGUCUCUAGCUUUGCUGGAGACUCGCCUUAAAGUAAUUGGCAGCCGGCCUACUGGUUUCGGAGCGCAGCACAAGUCGCACUCUCUAUCAGCAAAGGUCUAGCAUCCAUUAAGCCUUUUUUCAACUUUUGACCUCGGAUCAGGUAGGGAUACCCGCUGAACUUAAGCAUAUCA